rnacentral:lncRNA from 1 species
GUUUUGAUUUAUAUAAUUGAUAUAAAUCAAAACAUCGUGUUAUUUCUGAUUAAUUUUUCGAAUCACUUUAUUAAGGUGUUGAGAACCUUUGGUGACCCCAUAGUUUAAGUGUCUUUAAAAAGUACAUAGUGAGCAGUGGUCGUUACAUACAAACGUUCACCUAAGUUGUCCCAGUCAAUGGAUGAAUUUAAUGUGUCAAUCAAUGGCCACAGCCACACUGUUUUGAAUUUCAUUCUAUAACUAUUUGCU